CGGCCGCGUCGACAUUUUGGACAAUGGGCGAAAGCCUGAUCCAGCCAUGCCGCGUGCAGGAUGAAGGCCUUCGGGUUGUAAACUGCUUUUGUACGGAACGAAAAGACUCUGGUUAAUACCUGGGGUCCAUGACGGUACCGUAAGAAUAAGCACCGGCUAACUACGUGCCAGCAGCCGCGGUAAUACGUAGGGUGCAAGCGUUAAUCGGAAUUACUGGGCGUAAAGCGUGCGCAGGCGGUUAUAUAAGACAGAUGUGAAAUCCCCGGGCUCAACCUGGGAACUGCAUUUGUGACUGUAUAGCUAGAGUAUGUCAGA
rnacentral:rRNA from 1 species